GUAGUUAGCCGGGGCUUCCUCACAAGGUACCGUCACUUCUUCGUCCCUUGCGACAGAGGUUUACAACCCGAAAGCCUUCUUCCCUCACGCGGCGUUGCUGGGUCAGGCUUGCGCCCAUUGCCCAAUAUUCCCCACUGCUGCCUCCCGUAGGAGUCUGGACCGUGUCUCAGUUCCAGUGUGGCCGAUCAGCCUCUCAGCUCGGCUACCCAUCGUCGGCAUGGUGGGCCGUUACCCCGCCAUCUACCUAAUGGGACGCGAACCCCUCCUUCUGCGGAUUGCUCCUUUGACCCCUGAGCCAUGCGACUCUGUGGUCUUAUGCGGUAUUAGCACUUGUUUCCAGGUGUUAUCCCCCUCAAAAGGGCAGGUUGUUCACGCGUUACUCACCCGUUCGCCACUAGCUAUAAAUCCGAAAACCUAUAGCCCGUUCGACUUGCAUGUGUUAGGCACGCCGCCAGCGUUCGUCCUGAGCCAUGAUCAAACUCUGA
rnacentral:rRNA from 1 species